UACGAAGGGGGCUAGCGUUGUUCGGAAUUACUGGGCGUAAGGCGCGUGUAGGCGGGCCGUUAAGUUGGGGGUGAAAGCCCAGAGCUCAACUCUGGAAUUGCCUUCGAUACUGGCGGCCUGGAGCAUGAUAGAGGCGAGUGGAAUUGCGAGUGUAGAGGUGAAAUUCGUAGAGAUUCGCAGGAACACCAGUGGCGAAGGCGACUCGCUGGAUCAUUGCUGACGCUGAGACGCGAAAGAGUGGGGAGCAAACAGG
rnacentral:rRNA from 1 species